AGAGUUUGAUCAUGGCUCAGGAUGAACGCUGGCGGCGUGCCUAACACAUGCAAGUCGAACGGAGUUCUUGAGGAAUGCGACUUCGGUCAAAUGACUUUUGAACUUAGUGGCGGACGGGUGAGUAACGCGUGAGCAACCUGCCUUUCAGAGGGGGAUAACAUUUGGAAACAGAUGCUAAUACCGCAUAAGAUUACAGUACCGCAUGAUACAGUGAUCAAAGGAGCAAUCCGCUGAAAGAUGGGCUCGCGUCCGAUUAGAUAGUUGGUGAGGUAACGGCUCACCAAGUCGACGAUCGGUAGCCGGACUGAGAGGUUGAACGGCCACAUUGGGACUGAGACACGGCCCAGACUCCUACGGGAGGCAGCAGUGGGGAAUAUUGCACAAUGGGCGAAAGCCUGAUGCAGCAACGCCGCGUGAGGGAAGACGGUUCUCGGAUUGUAAACCUCUGUUUUCGGUGACGAACAAAUGACGGUAACCGAGUAGGAAGCCACGGCUAACUACGUGCCAGCAGCCGCGGUAAUACGUAGGUGGCAAGCGUUAUCCGGAAUUACUGGGUGUAAAGGGAGCGCAGGCGGGAUAGCAAGUCAGCUGUGAAAACUAUGGGCUCAACCCAUAAACUGCAGUUGAAACUGUUAUUCUUGAGUGGAGUAGAGGCAAGCGGAAUUCCGAGUGUAGCGGUGAAAUGCGUAGAUAUUCGGAGGAACACCAGUGGCGAAGGCGGCUUGCUGGGCUCUAACUGACGCUGAGGCUCGAAAGUGUGGGGAGCAAACAGGAUUAGAUACCCUGGUAGU
rnacentral:rRNA from 1 species